rnacentral:misc_RNA from 1 species
AAAUUAAAAAAAAAAAUUCAAAUCAGCUAUGACAGUGCCUAGUCAACUCUCAUCGGCAACAAAAUCAUAGCUGGUCUAGAUUCGUUUCAUUUCUCAGUUUCUCUCGCUUCUGUCUGUCUAUGCUAAAUUACAAGUAAUAAAGCUGGACCGAGAAGACUUUUAGUCUCCUCCUGUUCCUACUCUUUCCUGCCAAGUCGGCUGUUUUGCCAAUGCCUUGAUGGGCCUUCUUUCCAUUCUCUGCUCUUGCCUCCAGAGAAAACUCAAAUCCACUGCUUCCGAUGUCGCCGAUCACGACUUUGAAACUCAUGACCUCUUCUUCGACCUCCGUACGCUUCAAAUAGCUACCAAUUUUUUCUCCGACUUGAAUCAGCUUGGUCAUGGUGGAUUCGGUCCCGUUUACAGGGGAUUGAUACCAAAUGGUCAAGAAGUUGCAGUGAAGAAGCUUUCACUAAAUUCAAGACAGGGACUGCGAGAAUUCACUAAUGAGGUGAAACUCUUGUUGAAACUUCAGCACAAGAACUUGGUCACUUUGUUGGGAUGUUGUGUAGAGGGAACUGAGAAGAUGCUUGUUUAUGAAUAUCUGCCAAACAAAAGCCUUGAUUAUUUUCUUUUUGAUAAACAGAAAUCUUCAUCCCUUGAUUGGACAACACGGUUUAGAAUAGUUACAGGAGUGGCAAGAGGUCUUCUCUACCUGCAUGAAGAAGCCCCUGAAAGGAUCAUUCAUAGAGACAUCAAAGCUAGCAAUGUUUUGUUGGAUGAACAUUUGAAUCCAAAAAUUUCAGAUUUUG